UCGAAUGUCUGACAGAGUAUCUAUCUUAGACAACAGUAUUUUCUCUCCUUUAAAUUUUAAAAUUACAAUAGAUUAGCUGUAUAGUGUUCUUUUGAUUGAACCUGAGAGUGUUAUUUUAAUUUUUAUUUUAAUAGGAAUCAAGCAUGUUCCAAGGAAUUUCGGGGACGUACCGAAACAUAAACUUUAUGUUUAAUGAAAAAUGUGUUUUUAUAACUGGAGCAACAGGAUUCUUAGGCAAGGUUCUCUUAGAAAAGUUAAUUCGGUCAUGCCCGACUCUGUCCAAAGUGCUUGUGCUGAUACGGAGCAAUGAAAA